GCCGAGCUCAGUUGCGAGAGCUUGUAACCCAAGUGGGGGCAUUAAGAUGAUGUGAACGCUGUUGUAGUGCUGCAGGCCUGGUUUGGGUGUGCUACUGCUGGCCUGCCCGUUCCAAGUUGCGUAGUGGACCGGCUAGGGCCUAUGCGAAAGCUGGGCCUCACGGUCCAUAAUGUGGUAGGCACAGCGUGAGGCUGGCUUCACAGAGCAGCGACAACUGCCCACUUCCAACGAUGGAAGGAUAACGGGCCGUUGCACUCCUUGGCCACUUGGGCCUCGCAGGCUACUCCCCGCGACACCCGUGUG
rnacentral:SRP_RNA from 1 species